CGUGUAGGCGGGAAUACAAGUCAGAUGUGAAAUACUGUGGCUCAACCACAGAACGGCAUCUGAAACUGUAUUUCUUGAGUACUGGAGAGGAAAGCGGAAUUCCUAGUGUAGCGGUGAAAUGCGUAGAUAUUAGGAGGAACACCGGUGGCGAAGGCGGCUUUCUGGACAGUAACUGACGCUGAGACGCGAAAGCGUGGGGAGCAAACAGGAUUAGAUACCCCUGGUAGUCC
rnacentral:rRNA from 1 species